CAGUAUGCUUAGUUUCCACUGUUUCCCCAAAAACGCAAGUCUUCAGGCUAAGUGGAUUCAUAAAGUGCGAAGGACGGGGUUUACCGUAACCCAGCACACAAAGGUUUGUAGUCGGCACUUCAAGCCCCACGAGAUUGUGAUAUCCAAGAAAGGAAGGUGUGCUUUGGUAGCAGGUGGUGUCCCUUCGUUGUUCGAGUGGAACAAUUAUUCAACCAAGGAACGACCCGGUGUUUGGGAGCGACGGGCAAGACCACCAAGUCUGGAGCCUGAUGUCUUUGAACCAGCAGCAGCGGAGCCUGUCGCCAUCCCUAUGGUCAUGGACCAUGACUAUGAAGCACCUCCUACUGUGUGCGAGGAUAGGCAACAUUACGAGCAACUAAAACAGGAAAUCGAUGCACUUCGAGAGCAACUGAAAACAUGCCAUCUGUCCAAAUUUGGACUGCAGCGGUUUGCCUCUUCUCCAGAAGACAUACGAUUUUACACCAGGUUCCCAUCCUAAACGCACCUGAUGGCGUUUUGGAGCCUGAUUGAGUCUGCAACAUCAAAAAUGAUCAGAGUGACCAGCAGAGCCAGGAAAGCAUGCAACAUUAGCACUGAGUCACUGAGAGCCCUAUGACCAGACCAACUAAACUGCUGCCAAUAGAUGAGUUGUCCCUUUUCUUGACUUACCUGUCAACUGGUUCUACCCAAAGGGAACUGUCUCAUCGCUUCAACAUCCACAGAACAACAGUAGGCCGUAUCAUAGUCACUUGGGCCAACUUUCUGUACUCCCUGUUGGGCUCGAUCUGUUUUUGGAUGUACCCCGCAGCUGUGAAGACCGGUCUACCUCCUGAGUUUAAUGGCAGAUACAGCAACACCCAAGUAAUCGUUGACUGCACCGAACUUAGAUGUCAGACCCCCGAGAUGGCCAUUAUGGUUGACAAAGGAUUCCUGGUGGAUGACCUGGUACCUGGGACUGUUUAUCGUCCAGCUUUUGUCACUCAGAGGAGGAUGUCCUACAGACCCAAUCCAUAGCUCGGCUGAGGGUGCACGUAGAAAGGAUGAUCAGAAGAGUCAAAGAGAACAAACUGUUCGACACCACCAUCCCCCUGUCCAUAACCGGGAGCAUUAAUCAGAUAUUUACAGUAGCCUGUCUUCUCUCAAAUUUCUAAAAUGGACCCCUAGUGAAGACAUGGGUAAACGAAGUUUGAAAUGUUUUUUACAAAAACUGAUUUCACACUGCUCUAUUUUUAGUUGUGCUUGAAAUGAAAUGACAACUGGAUAUGUUUGAUAGCAAGGAAACUGCACUUACAGCUGUACUUGUGUGCAUGUCUUGUGUGCUAUUUUAUUUUUACUGCUUUGCCUUUUAUAACCCUGUACGGUGUCCUUGAGUGCCAAGAAAGGCGCCUUUAAAUAAAAUGUAUUAUUAUUAUUAUUAUUAUUAUUAUUAUUCUGUUGGGUUGUCAGAGGAAUCACUAAACUCAGGUAACGUUAUGUAGUCCAUGGUUAUGCCGCUGUAUCACAAUGUAUAAUUGUAAGCACUGUGCAAUACCUAAUAACAUCACAAACCUGUAUAACUACUACAGGUCACUUUAAAAAAAAUUAACUGGCAAUCCAAAAUUGUAUUAGUGUUAACUUACAGUAACAUAUUGUGAAUAUAAGAAUAUCUUACAGGUCUUUAAUAAAUUUGACAUUCAUGA